UACGUAGGGUGCGAGCGUUGUUCGGAGUUACUGGGCGUAAAGAGUGCGUAGGCGGUUUUCUAAGUUUGGUGUGAAAUCUCCCGGCUUAACUGGGAGGGUGCGCCGAAGACUGGAAGGCUUGAGUAUGGGAGAGGUAAGCGGAAUUCCUGGUGUAGCGGUGAAAUGCGUAGAUAUCAGGAGGAACACCUGCGGUGUAGACGGCUUACUAGACCAUAACUGACGCUGAGGCACGAAAGCGUGGGUAGCAAACAGG
rnacentral:rRNA from 1 species